rnacentral:rRNA from 1 species
AUUGAACGCUAGCGGGAUGCUUUACACAUGCAAGCCGAACGGUAGCACGAAGAAAGCUUGCUUUCCUUGGUGACGAGUGGCGAACGGGUGAGUAAUGUAUCGGAACGUACCCAGUAGCGGGGGAUAACUACGCGAAAGCGUGGCUAAUACCGCAUACGCCCUACGGGGGCAAGGGGGGGAUCGCAAGACCUCUCACUAUUUGAGCGGCCGAUAUCGGAUUAGGUAGUUGGUGGGGUAAAGGCCUACCAAGGCGACGAUCCGUAGCUGGUUUGAGAGGACGACCAGCCAGACUGGGACUGAGACACGGCCCAGACUCCUACGGGAGGCAGCAGUGGGGAAUUUUGGACAAUGGGGGCAACCCUGAUCCAGCCAUCCCGCGUGUGCGAUGAAGGCCUUCGGGUUGUAAAGCACUUUUGGCAGAGAAGAAACGACUCUGGAUAAUACCCGGGGUUAAUGACGGUAUCUGCAGAAUAAGCACCGGCUAACUACGUGCCAGCAGCCGCGGUAACAC